rnacentral:tRNA from 1 species
GGGCAAAUAGGGUAGUUCUGUGGUUAGAAAGCGUAAGUCCACGAGUAGUCAUGGGUUCGACUCCCAUUGUGUCCA